rnacentral:rRNA from 1 species
UGCCAGACUCCUACGGGAGGCAGCAGUGGGGAAUAUUGCACAAUGGGGGAAACCCUGAUGCAGCGACGCCGCGUGAAGGAAGAAGUAUUUCGGUAUGUAAAGCUCUAUCAGCAGGGAAGAAAAUGACGGUACCUGACUAAGAAGCCCCGGCUAACUACGUGCCAGCAGCCGCGGUAAUACGUAGGGGGCAAGCGUUAUCCGGAUUUACUGGGUGUAAAGGGAGCGUAGACGGCGAUACAAGUCUGAAGUGAAAGCCCGGGGCUCAACCCCGGGACUGCUUUGGAAACUGUGUUGCUGGAGUGCUGGAGAGGCAAGCGGAAUUCCUAGUGUAGCGGUGAAAUGCGUAGAUAUUAGGAAGAACACCAGUGGCGAAGGCGGCUUGCUGGACAGUAACUGACGUUGAGGCUCGAAAGCGUGGGGAGCAAACAGGAUUAGAUACCCGAGUAC